UACGAAGGGGGCUAGCGUUGUUCGGAAUCACUGGGCGUAAAGGGCGCGUAGGCGGCUUUAUAAGUCGGGGGUGAAAGCCUGUGGCUCAACCACAGAAUUGCCUUCGAUACUGUAGAGCUUGAGACCGGAAGAGGUAAGUGGAACUGCGAGUGUAGAGGUGGAAUUCGUAGAUAUUAGGAAGAACACCAGUGGCGAAGGCGGCUCACUGGUCCGGUACUGACGCUGAGGUGCGAAAGCGUGGGGAGCAAACAGG
rnacentral:rRNA from 1 species